rnacentral:rRNA from 1 species
GACGGACGCUGGCGGCGUGCUUAACACAUGCAAGUCGAACGGUAAGGCCCUUCGGGGUACACGAGUGGCGAACGGGUGAGUGACACGUGGGUGAUCUGCCCUGCACUUCGGGAUAAGCCUGGGAAACUGGGUCUAAUACCGGAUAGGACCACUGCCUGCAUGGGUGGUGGUGGAAAGCUUUUGCGGUGUGGGAUGGGCCCGCGGCCUAUCAGCGUGUUGGUGGGGUGAUGGCCUACCAAGGCGACGACGGGUAGCCGGCCUGAGAGGGUGACCAGCCACACUGGGACUGAGAUACGGCCCAGACUCCUACGGGAGGCAGCAGUGGGGAAUAUUGCACAAUGGGCGCAAGCCUGAUGCAGCGACGCCGCGUGAGGGAUGACGGCCUUCGGGUUGUAAACCUCUUUCAGCACCGACGAAGCGCAAGUGACGGUAGGUGCAGAAGAAGGACCGGCCAACUACGUGCCAGCAGCCGCCGUAA